GAUGAACGCUGGCGGCGUGCUUAACUCAUGCGAGUCGAACGAAGCACUUUGAAAGCUUGCUUUUAAAGUGACUGAGUGGCGGACGGGUGAGUAACGCGUGGGUAACCUGCCUCACACAGGGGGAUAACAGUUAGAAAUGACUGCUAAUACCGCAUAAGCCCCCGGUACCGCAUGGUACAGAGGGAAAAGAUUUAUCGGUGUGAGAUGGACCCGCGUCUGAUUAGCUAGUUGGUGGGGUAACGGCCUACCAAGGCGACGAUCAGUAGCCGACCUGAGAGGGUGACCGGCCACAUUGGGACUGAGACACGGCCCAAACUCCUACGGGAGGCAGCAGUGGGGAAUAUUGCACAAUGGGCGCAAGCCUGAUGCAGCGACGCCGCGUGAGUGAAGAAGUAUUUCGGUAUGUAAAGCUCUAUCAGCAGGGAAGAUAAUGACAGUACCUGACUAAGAAGCUCCGGCUAAAUACGUGCCAGCCGCCGCAGUAAUAC
rnacentral:rRNA from 1 species